rnacentral:rRNA from 1 species
AGAGUUUGAUCCUGGCUCAGGAUGAACGCUAGCGGCAGGCCUAACACAUGCAAGUCGAGGGGUAAGGUUCAGCUUGCUGAACACACGACCGGCGCACGGGUGAGUAUCGCGUUUGCAAUCUACCUCUAACUGGAGGAUAGCCCGAAGAAAUUCGGAUUAAUACUCCAUAAAGUCAUAAUUUCGCAUGUUAUUAUGAUUAAAGCUCCGGCGGUUAGAGAUGAGCAUGCGUGUCAUUAGCUUGUUGGUGAGGUAACGGCUCACCAAGGCAACGAUGACUAGGGGUUCUGAGAGGAUGAUCCCCCACACUGGUACUGAGACACGGACCAGACUCCUACGGGAGGCAGCAGUGAGGAAUAUUGGGCAAUGGGCGAAAGCCUGACCCAGCCAUGCCGCGUGCAGGAUGACUGCCCUAUGGGUUGUAAACUGCUUUUAUACGGGAAGAAUGGUUCCUACGUGUAGGGAUUUGACGGUACCGUAAGAAUAAGCAUCGGCUAACUCCGUGCCAGCAGCCGCGGUAAUACGGAGGAUGCAAGCGUUAUCCGGAUUCAUUGGGUUUAAAGGGUGCGCAGGCGGAAUAUUAAGUCAGUGGUGAAAUCCUGCAGCUUAACUGUAGAACUGCCAUUGAUACUGAUAUUCUUGAAUGUAGUUGAGGUGGGCGGAAUGUGUAAUGUAGCGGUGAAAUGCUUAGAUAUUACACAGAACACCGAUUGCGAAGGCAGCUCACUAAACUAACAUUGACGCUGAGGCACGAAAGCGUGGGGGAGCGA